rnacentral:rRNA from 1 species
UACGAAGGGGGCUAGCGUUGCUCGGAAUCACUGGGCGUAAAGCGCACGUAGGCGGCUUUUUAAGUCAGGGGUGAAAUCCUGGAGCUCAACUCCAGAACUGCCUUUGAUACUGAGAAGCUUGAGUCCGGGAGAGGUGAGUGGAACUGCGAGUGUAGAGGUGAAAUUCGUAGAUAUUCGCAAGAACACCAGUGGCGAAGGCGGCUCACUGGACCGGCAUUGACGCUGAGGUGCGAAAGCGUGGGGAGCAAACAGG